rnacentral:rRNA from 1 species
AGAACGAACGCUGGCGGCAGGCUUAACACAUGCAAGUCGAACGCCCCGCAAGGGGAGUGGCAGACGGGUGAGUAACGCGUGGGAACGUGCCCUUCGCUUCGGAAUAGUCCCGGGAAACUGGGUUUAAUACCGAAUACGCCGUAUUGGGAAAGAUUUAUCGGCGAAGGAUCGGCCCGCGUUAGAUUAGGUAGUUGGCGGUGUAAUGGACCACCAAGCCUACGAUCUAUAGCUGGUCUGAGAGGAUGAUCAGCCACACUGGGACUGAGACACGGCCCAGACUCCUACGGGAGGCAGCAGUGGGGAAUCUUGGACAAUGGGCGCAAGCCUGAUCCAGCCAUGCCGCGUGAGUGAAGAAGGCCUUAGGUUGUAAAACUCUUUCGCCGGUGAAGAUAAUGACGGUAACCGGAGAAGAAGCCCGGCUAACUCGUGCCAGCAGCCGAC